AUCCAGCUGACAAGUUCCAUAUAGGACUAAACAUCAGUCCUGGAU
rnacentral:hammerhead_ribozyme from 1 species